rnacentral:rRNA from 1 species
AUUGAACGCUGGCGGCAUGCCUUACACAUGCAAGUCGAACGGUAACAGGUCUUCGGAUGCUGACGAGUGGCGAACGGGUGAGUAAUACAUCGGAACGUGCCUAGUAGUGGGGGAUAACUACUCGAAAGAGUGGCUAAUACCGCAUGAGAUCUACGGAUGAAAGCAGGGGAUCGCAAGACCUUGUGCUACUAGAGCGGCCGAUGGCAGAUUAGGGAGUUGGUGGGAUAAAAGCUUACCAAGCCGACGAUCUGUAGCUGGUCUGAGAGGACGAUCACCCACACUGGGACUGAGACACGGCCCAGACUACACCGGGAGGCAGCAGUGGGGAAUUUUGGACAAUGGGCGCAAGCCUGAUCCAGCCAUGCCGCGUGCAGGAUGAAGGCCUUCGGGUUGUAAACUGCUUUUGUACGGAACGAAAAGACUCUGGUUAAUACCUGGGGUCCAUGACGGUACCGUAAGAAUAAGCACCGGCUAACUACGUGCCAGCAGCCGCCGUAAAAC